GCCCUGGUUGUACAUCGGUUAGUACAUGCAGCUAUCAUGCCAAUCCUGCGUAGAACCAAAGGCUUCAAUUUGUCAAUGCGAAAGCUGGGUUCGACUCCCAGCCAGGGUG